CGGGGUAUGGCGCAGUCUGGUAGCGCACCUGCUUUGGGAGCAGGGGGUCCGAGGUUCGAAUCCUCGUGCCCCGA
rnacentral:tRNA from 1 species